rnacentral:ribozyme from 1 species
UGCAGCAAUACCGCAAUAGGAUCUCCAUACCCUACUCCGACUCAAUACGUCCACGGCGUACAGAACGGUAACAUAUCUCUCCAAUAAUCUGAGUGUACCCACGGGGAAACCCAACCCAUUGGGAGGAUGGGUUAUAUGGCUAAAUUGAGCCAG